CAGAUGUUCGUCAUCCACUUUUUGAGUUCCAUAGAUAAUGAUGAAGUUUGGUUCAAGUUUGAAUUCGAAUUUGAUUUAAAUUGGUGAUGAGGAUAAACCAUCAUUUAAACUUAAACCAAACCACCUCAACUUAUCAUUAUCUUUCAUGAGAUGCCACCUUAAGAAGGGAUAACUUUUUGUGCGACAAAGAAGUUUUAGUUUGUGUAUGAGAAACUUUUCAGUUGGGGCAUGAAAAGAAAAAAUCUAAGAGGGGCGGGCUUCCGUGCAUGAGAAAUAGAGGAAGUAAUCUUCCUCUUGGACAUGAGGUCUAGGAUGGGUUCUAGGAUUUUUUUAGCUCUAGUUUUUGUAUAAGAAAAAUACAAGAGGG
rnacentral:lncRNA from 1 species